GGUUCAUUCAAAUUUCUGCCCUAUCAACUUUCGAUGGUAGGAUAGUGGCCUACCAUGGUUUCAACGGGUAACGGGGAAUUAGGGUUCUAUUCCGGAGAGGGAGCCUGAGAAACGGCUACCACAUCCAAGGAAGGCAGCAGGCGCGCAAAUUACCCAAUCCCGACCGGGGAGGUAGUGACAAUAAAUACUGAUACAGGGUUCUUUUGGAUCUUGUAAUUGGAAUGAGUACAAUUUAAAUCCCUUAACGAGGAACAAUUGGAGGGCAAGUCUGGUGCCAGCAGCCGCGGUAAUUCCAGCUCCAAUAGCGUAUAUUAAAGUUGUUGCAGUUAAAAAGCUCGUAGUUG
rnacentral:rRNA from 1 species